GGGCCGGUAGUUUAGUCCGGUAGAAUACCUGCCUUGCAUGCUGGCUGGCAAUGGCAGCAGAGGAGACGUAGGUGGUCGUGGGUUCAAAUCCCACCCGGUCCA
rnacentral:tRNA from 1 species